UGAGAGAAGGACAGGGAGCUGAAUAGCUGUCCAGGUAUGGCUGGGUGGAAACCGCAGCCGAACAGAAGCCACGGCCUGACGACGAAGGGCGUGCGGUGUCCGAGUGAGCUGGGCUGCCUUUCGCCUCUGCUACAACCUGUCCACAACCACACGGAGGCGGUCUCUGGAAGGGCAAGGAGGGGACGGCUCCGCUGAACAUCUGAAGUCACAACAAAGUCCCUGCUGCUCGGGAACUUCCAUUCACAUGGGCGUGUUACAGACAGCGAACGAUAAACACAGUGAAUAAGUAAAUUAUACUUUCGCCCAGGCCCCCUGCUUGGCUCCGCUGACUGUCUGUGGGAGCGGAUGGACUGUUCACACGGUCCUGUUGGUGCUGACAGAUGUUUUUCAGGACAGCGGAGCAAGGAUGCUCUUCCCCCACUGGCCUGGAUCUCCCGGUGGGAGCUCAGAGCAGUCCUGCGCACCGCACAGGGGGAGCAUCCGGAAGCCCGAGAAGCCCUGGCUGUGAGGACAAAGGAGGCGAUAUCCUCACGACCGGUCACCUUAUGUCA